rnacentral:snRNA from 1 species
CUCCUUUCGGCAGCACGUAUACUAAAAUUGGAAUUAUA